CCGCGGCAAGACGGAAAGACCCCGUGAACCUUUACUACAGCUUGACACUGAACAUUGAGCCUUGAUGUGUAGGAUAGGUGGGAGGCUUUGAAGCGUGGACGCCAGUCUGCGUGGAGCCGACCUUGAAAUACCACCCUUUAAUGUUUGAUGUUCUAACCUGGCGCCGUGAUCCGGCGUGGGGACAGUGUCUGGUGGGUAGUUUGACUGGGGCGGUCUCCUCCCAAAGUGUAACGGAGGAGCACGAAGGGU
rnacentral:rRNA from 1 species